rnacentral:snRNA from 1 species
AAAGAUUAGUGUGGUCCCUGCAUAAGGAUGACACACAAACUUGUUAAGUAUUCCAUAUUUUU